rnacentral:rRNA from 1 species
AACUAACGCUGGCGGCGUGCCUAACACAUGCAAGUCGUACGAGAAAGUCCGCUUCGGUGGAUCAGUAAAGUGGCGCACGGGUGAGUAACGCGUGGAUAAUCUACCCCUCAGUUGGGAAUAACGUACCGAAAGGUGCGCUAAUACCGAAUGACACUGCACAUCUUCUGUUGUGUAGUCAAAGAUGGCCUCUGCUUGCAAGCUUUCGCUGAAGGAUGAGUCCGCGUACCAUUAGCUAGUUGGUAGGGUAAUGGCCUACCAAGGCAACGAUGGUUAGCUGGUCUGAGAGGAUGAUCAGCCACACUGGAACUGAGACACGGUCCCGACUCCUACGGGAGGCAGCAGUGAGGAAUAUUGCGCAAUGGGGGCAACCCUGACGCAGUAACGCCGCGUGAGUGAGGAAGGUCUUCGGACCGUAAAGCUCUGUCGAGCGGGAAGAAAUGCACGAUGGCUAAUAUCCAUCAUGCUUGACGGUACCGCUAAAGGAAGCACCGGCUAACUCUGUGCCAGCAGCCGCAGUAACAC